GGCUCGGUAGCUUAGUUGGUAAAGCACUUGUCUAGCGAAUAAGGGUCGUGAGUUGAAAUCUCACCUGAACUG
rnacentral:tRNA from 1 species